ACUCAAAUGAAUUGACGGGGGCUCACACAAGCGGUGGAGCAUGUGGCUCAAUUCGAAGCAACGCGAAGAACCUUAUCCUGGAUUUGACAUGGUGGAAGUAAGAAGCCGAAACGCUUAUGACCGGUAUCCAACCCGGAACCAUCACAGGUGCUGCAUGGCUGUCGUCAGCUCGUGCUGUGAAGUGUCGGGUUAAGUCCCAUAACGAGCGAAACCCCUAUCGUUAGUUGCCAUCAGGUUAUGCUGGGCACUCUAACGAGACUGCCGGUGUUAAACCGGAGGAAGGCGGGGAUGACGUCAAGUCCUCAUGGCCUUUAUAUCCAGGGCUGCACACGUGCUACAAUGCGGCUGACAAACCGAAGCAAGACCGUAAGGUGGAGCAAAUCGGAGAAAAAGCCGCCCAGUUCAGAUUGAGGGCUGCAACUCGCCCUCAUGAAGUUGGAAUCGCUAGUAAUCGCGGAUCAGCUACGCCGCGGUGAAUGUGUUCCUGAGCCUUGUACACACCGCCCGU
rnacentral:rRNA from 1 species